rnacentral:lncRNA from 1 species
UCUAAUGUGUGUGACCCCGCAGGUUCGAACCUAAGCCGGUAGCACAGGAACUAAUUUCUGUACUAAUCGAAGUGACCAUCUAGCAAUGAUACCCGAUGUUCAGAUAGAUCGAAUAGUCGCAAUCGCAACACUCAGAACCUACGCGAAUAUGGUUACUGUAUAAUUCAUCCCUUUUGACCCCUGUGUAUAGGAUGACUCAGGGUUAAACUGUCAACC